rnacentral:rRNA from 1 species
ACGUAGGGGCCUAGCGUUAUCCGAAUUUACUGGGCGUAAAGCGCGUGCAGGCGGCUGUGUAAGUGGAUUGUGAAAUCUCCCGGCUCAACUGGGAGGGGACGGUCCAGACUGCGCAGCUGGAGGCAGGCAGAGGGGGAUGGAAUUCCGCGUGUAGCAGUGAAAUGCGUAGAUAUGCGGAGGAACACCGAUGGCGAAGGCAAUCCCCUGGGCCUGCACUGACGCUCAUGCACGAAAGCGUGGGGAGCAAACAGGA